AGAGUUUGAUCCUGGCUCAGGAUGAACGCUGGCGGCGUGCCUAACACAUGCAAGUCGAACGGAGUUACGAUGAAACCUAGUGAUUCGUAACUUAGUGGCGGACGGGUGAGUAACGCGUGGAUAACCUGCCUUGCACUGGGGGAUAACACUUAGAAAUAGGUGCUAAUACCGCAUAAGCGCACGGAGCCGCAUGGCUCAGUGUGAAAAACUCCGGUGGUGUAAGAUGGAUCCGCGUCUGAUUAGCUGGUUGGCGGGGUAGAAGCCCACCAAGGCGACGAUCAGUAGCCGGCCUGAGAGGGUGAACGGCCACAUUGGGACUGAGACACGGCCCAAACUCCUACGGGAGGCAGCAGUGGGGAAUAUUGCACAAUGGGGGAAACCCUGAUGCAGCAACGCCGCGUGAGUGAAGAAGUCAUUCGUGAUGUAAAGCUCUAUCAGCAGGGAAGAAAAUGACGGUACCUGAGUAAGAAGCCCCGGCUAACUACGUG
rnacentral:rRNA from 1 species